rnacentral:lncRNA from 1 species
CGACAUUAAAAUCAACACAUAAAAAAAUUAAAGUACUAGAAUCUUAAUUCAACGAAAUAAAGGUAUCCAAUAAAGUCAGAUUGUUCGCCCUAAAUCAAAUUUAGCUAUUCAUAAUAAUGGAAGAAACACAAGAUAAAAUAAUGGAAGACAUCACCCGGAUUAAUUGACGAAGCGUAAUUAAUUUCCAAAGUGACGCUGCCGUGGUCACGUCUUUGUCAUCUUCGUGUUUGCCUUUUCUUCCUUCCAAAUCUGUUUGUGUAAUUCUCCCUUUUUCCCUCUCCGUCUGCGCGUAUAUAUAUGUAUAUAUUUGUCAACCAGCAGCCUCAAUUCUUGCCUCUUUUUGUCUCUUCAAAAGCUGCCAAUGUUUGUGUAAAUAUAUAUGUUGCAGCCCACGUUUUUCUUUAUUUCCUCAAACUGCCGAACUCUCCCAGAAGGCACCCCUUUUUUUGUGUUUUUAUAUGAUUAAUUCAGCCUCCUUUGUUGUGUGCAUUACAGACACAACAAUUCUUUUGGUCAGAGAAUCCAAGUCAGCCACUUGUAAUGUUCU